UACGUAGGUGGCAAGCGUUGUCCGGAAUUAUUGGGCGUAAAGCGCGCGCAGGCGGUUUCUUAAGUCUGAUGUGAAAGCCCACGGCUUAACCGUGGAAGGUCAUUGGAAACUGGGAGACUUGAGUGCAGAGGAGAAGAGCGGAAUUCCACGUGUAGCGGUGAAAUGCGUAGAGAUGUGGAGGAACACCAGUGGCGAAGGCGGCUCUUUGGUCUGUAACUGACGCUGAGGCGCGAAAGCGUGGGGAUCAAACAGG
rnacentral:rRNA from 1 species